rnacentral:rRNA from 1 species
GAUGAACGCUGGCGGCAUGCCUAAUACAUGCAAGUCGAGCGAACGGACGAGAAGCUUGCUUCUCUGAUGUUAGCGGCGGACGGGUGAGUAACACGUGGAUAACCUACCUAUAAGACUGGGAUAACGUCGGGAAACCGGAGCUAAUACCGGAUAAUAUUUUGAACCGCAUGGUUCAAAAGUGAAAGACGGUCUUGCUGUCACUUAUAGAUGGAUCCGCGCUGCAUUAGCUAGUUGGUAAGGUAACGGCUUACCAAGGCAACGAUGCAUAGCCGACCUGAGAGGGUGAUCGGCCACACUGGAACUGAGACACGGUCCAGACUCCUACGGGAGGCAGCAGUAGGGAAUCUUGCGCAAUGGGCGAAAGCCUGACGGAGCAACGCCGCGUGAGUGACGAAGGUCUUCGGAUCGUAAAACUCUGUUAUUAGGGAAGAACAUAUGUGUAAGUAACUGUGCACAUCUUGACGGUACCUAAUCAGAAAGCCACGACUAACUACGUG